rnacentral:rRNA from 1 species
CGUAGGUGGCAAGCGUUGUCCGGAUUUACUGGGCGUAAAGAGCGCGCAGGCGGUCGUUCAAGUCGCGUGUGAAAGCCCCCGGCUCAACUGGGGAGGGUCACGCGAUACUGAUCGACUCGAAGGCAGGAGAGGGAAGUGGAAUUCCCGGUGUAGUGGUGAAAUGCGUAGAUAUCGGGAGGAACGCCAGUGGCGAAGGCGACUUCCUGGCCUGUUCUUGACGCUGAGGCGCGAAAGCUAGGGGGAGCAAACGGGAUUAGAUACCCCGGUAGUCCUAGCCGUAAACGAUGGACACUAGGUGUUGGUGGUAUCAACCCCGCCAGUGCCGUAGCUAACGCAUUAAGUGUCCCGCCUGGGGAGUACGGCCGCAAGGCUA